UUGAGGCAAUAUUGGUCAAAUUAACUGUGACAUUGGUAACUAUUAAACAAACAAAUUGGUUAUCUAACAACUAAUAUCAUUGGUUAAGAACAAAUUGGUUGAUUUAACAAAGAUAUUAGUUAACUUUAAUAAAAGAUUGGUUGAAAAAUGACUAAUAUCAUUGGUUAAGCAAAUGUUAACUAAGAGAUUGGUAACUGACGCAGGUCUGACGCUCAACGUCAAGUACGUAACUCUGCUUCUCAAUUUUCUGACAAAGCCGCCAUCUUGGUGCUGCAGGAAAGCCGUUUGAGAUAUUGGUGGAAUUCAAACACUUUGUGAGAUGACAGAAUAUUGCUGAAGGAUCCUACAUGGAAGCUGGCUGAUUACACGGAGUGAUUCCUCUGGUGUGGUGUACCUCAGAGAAAUAAACACUGUUGCAAGAGCUGAGAAGAUGGCCAAGAUAUCCUUAUUGCUGGAUGGUAGCUCUGGUCGUAGUGGACCAUAUCUGCAAAUGCUUCUGAACAUUGACAGAAUUUCUAAAGGAUCGCUGAGGACUCCCCCUCCAUGCGUGACAUCUUUGAGAAAUUUCCACGCUUUCUGGAGAUGCCAAGUUUGACUGGAACCAACUUUGCAUCCCUCGGCACUGACACUGAGAAGGUUUCAAGGACCCCACUACUAGGAGGCGAGAGUUUGACACGGCAGUGUCAUCACUGCCAUGGAUGACAAUGUAACCAUUCCUGUUGCUGAUUGCCUGACUUGCGCAGUGACAAGCUUUUCAUGCUCUACUGGGUGUGUAACUUGGCAUAUCCACCACAGUUUAACUCUGUUUUUGCCUCUUUUGAAUAUGUGUACGAUAUAACCAUCUCAACCAAAAAGUGGGCCAAGGUACUGGAACAUUUAUCACUUCAAGUUGCUCUGUAGUCACUGGACAUUUUUUAAAACAUCUACGCAAACACCACCACUCCACACCAUGUGUAUUUUAAUUACUUCUGAUUCCACUGACAUGCAGACUACAUCCUAUGCAGAUUCAGGUAAUUUACCUGGUACUGGAGAAACAGCAUUGUAUGCCAUUCUAAGUGAUACUUGCCUCCUUGUUUUGCAAAAAUGUACUGUUCUUUGAAUAUAACUUAAAGUAAGAUCAUGUUGACUCUGAGGUUUUCUCCGGUUGUCAAGCACAACCUUAACGUUUUGUAAGUAAGUAAUAGUCACAGGAUAUGCAUGCAUUUGUAAUUUGAAUUUUCGUCGAAAACGGCUCACCAAGCAUAAAAUGUUACCUCUGCUUUUGAUUUUUCUUUUUUUUAAAUGUCCCUUAAUACCAGCCUGUCUUUUUGUUGUGUCCA